rnacentral:tRNA from 1 species
UUAGUUAAAACCAAAUUAGAGGUAUAUCACUGUUAAUGAUAAAAUUGAGUAAUUCUCUAACUAAG